rnacentral:lncRNA from 10 species
UAGGAAUGGUGUAUUUGAAGUCCCUGAUGAGGCCAUUGGGAAGUCUGGGUUUUUCUGCUGUGCAGACAGUCUUUGCAAGGGCUGGCAUGGGCCCAGAAAUGCAAUCCUCGUGCAGAGUAGGUGCCUGUGGCAGGAGGCCAUGCAAUUGGGCUCUAGUCUUGCUUCAUUCAACUGAACCAGGAAAGAAACAGAUCCACGCACUCUGAUACCCAUUUCCGUUGUUCUAGGAGGUAAAUGAUUUCGUUCCUACAAGCCAGACAGUAGCCAGCUUUCACUAAAGAAGAAUCGACUCCUUAGUAUCUUGUCAUGCCAUUGGUUCUGAUGCAUAAGUGAACCCUGUUUUUAACGGAAGCUCCUUUUUUUUCACCUCAGGACCUACCCAAGACUGUCUAGAUACUGGCAGGACAAGGUACAGGAGUUUUCAGCAGAAAGUGGAGUUGCCAGGAGAGAUGCUGGGCACUUGCACUGUGACUUUGGAGUGCCGGGAAAAGUUCCAGGGUCCCCAGUGCUUACUUAGAUAAAUGGCAUUUAAAAUAGUGCAGCCUUUUAUCAUUGCUUAGUCUAAUUUAGCUCCCCAUAAUGACAUUCUCACUGCAAGGUGGUCAUUGCUAUCAUUUUCUUUUGGGUGUGGCAGUUAGGUAUGCCACGUGAGCUGAACGGGUUUCACAUGGAAUCAAAGUCAGAAUGUUCGAAAAGGACAUUUGUGUUUUUCCUUCAAUGGUGCCUUGAAAUUGGGCUCCCUCCCUCUUGCUGUGUGGGGAACUGGGAGGGUAUAGCCCAAGCUUGCUUUGUGAUGGACAGCUAGAAUGUAAAAGCUUAAACUAUGGGGAAAGUCUUGCCUGUUUUCCAAGGCUUCCUCCACCCUGCCACCGAAGAACUUACCUGGAUGCCAACCUGGGACCCCUUUGUCUUUGGGCUUUUGCCCUUUGAAACUGUGAAUGCUUCAAGAGCCACAUAAAUGCUCUGGCAGUGUCUCCAUGUAACUAGUAAAUUGUCCUGGCUGGAUUCGUUGUGAAAUGGAACUGUCCCAUUUACUUUGGUUGCAAAUAAGGAAGAUGUAUGAGUAUUGGCCUGGAAAUGAGCCCUCUAGUGUAGAGAGGUUAUUCUGAGGGUUUAAACUACAUGGAUAGGCCUUGGGUUCAAGGUUACAGGAAAGGCUGUAAGCCUGAGAUUGUGGGGAAUGGCCAGAGCUGGGCUUUGGGUGUUCCUUGUGGGGGUCCCUGUGAAGGUAAGACAGAAAGGCAUUCUGGGUGAGCUGCCUCGGGUCAGCCCAGGGGUGCAGGCUCCUCUGACUGGGACCACAGGCAGCCACCCGAGGCCACUCAGAUGCCGUGACUCUGAGACCAGAGGGAAGGGAGGCUGGGCCUGGUCCCCUGUGUUCCUCAGCAAAGUGCCACAUCAGUCUCCUGAGAACACAGCUGUGUGUUCUUUCCAGUCGCUUCUGUUCCCAGACUUCAGGCAACAUGGCAGCUCCCAUACUUGCCAGGGUAGUUGGAAGGGCAGCUCUGGAGACAGGAAGUGGAGGUAGAAGCAAAGGAAGGGAGUCCUUGGCUGGGAAGUGCUUGGGUUCGGACAGACAGGGAAGAAGGGAAAGUAUGAGGUGUGUUCAGGGAAGCUUAGAAGGGCAGAGAGGUUUCAGUAGGACAUGUAUGGGCUAAAGGGUCAGUUAGAACCAGAGUAUGGAGAGUCUGGGAUGCCAUAUACAAAAGUUUGGGCUCUAACAGUCUCCUGAUGAGGAGCAAUUUUCCAAAACAUGAAAGAAUUAUUCUAAGAAUGACAAAGGGAAGUUAAUAUAAAUUAUGACUACCACAGGGUUUGAAUUUACACACUGACCACCACAAAUUUUAUAACUGUAGUCGUCUCGAUGGUUGUGAUGCCCAUGAGGUGUUGGGCUGGGGGCAUGAUGACGCUGAGGCAACAUGAGAGGGGACGUCUUUGACACCAGGGCCCCAGCCACGUGUCUCAGGGGCUCCCACUUGCCAUGGGACUCGCAGCUGGUUCCAUCCGAUGCCAGCCCCAGUGCAUCUAUCACUGUCUUCACAAAACGGGGGUCCUCCAGGAGUUCUGGACAGCUGCUCUGCAGAUUCUUAUAUACCUUUAAUCGAAGGCCUUGGACUUUUGAGAGGAGCGCAGUGCCCUCCUUUUGUGUUCAGGAAGGCCAAAUUAGAGCCUUCUCCACCGCCGGGGAAUAUUCAUGUGGGAAAUGGAGGCCUGCUGCAGACCUGAAGGUCAAUGAUUGUUUAAUCUUUCUUUGACAGCAUUAUGAAGGUAUAAUGGGCAUACAAGAAACUGCACGUCUUUAAAGUGUACAGUUGGAGGGUUUUUGGCAUGUGUGGACACCCAUGAAACCUCCCCCAUAAUCAAGACAGUGAAUUGAUCCGCCACUCCCAAAAGUGGCCUUGCGCCUCCAGCAACCCCUCUUUCCUGCUCCUCACUGUCCCCCAUCCCCACCGCCACUGCUUGGCUUGCUGUCACUAUAGAUUAAUUCCCAUUUUCUAGAAUUCCAUAGAAAUGGACUCAUACAGUGUAUGUCUGGCCUCUUUCACUCAGCACAAUUCUUUUUUCAUCAGGUGUUUUUGUGCAUAUCAGUACUCCAUUUUUUUUUAUUGUUGGUAGGAUCCCAUUGUAUGGGUGGACCACAAUACCUGUUGAAUACCUGUUGAUGGACAUUUGGGUUGUUACCAGGUUUUGGCCAUGACAAAUAAAGCUGCUGUGAACAUUUGUG